GGCAGUGUAGCAUAGUGGUUAAGGAGCUGGACUUAUAACCAAAAGGUUGCCAGUUCAAUUCCCCACCGGGGCACUGCUG